GCUUUCCCACCAAUAUCCUAUACGCAUUCCUCGUCUCCCCCAUUUGUGUUACAUGCCCUGCCCACCUCAUCCUCCUGAAUCAUACAGAACUUAUCAGACAUGGUAUGAUGUUAAAAAUAAAAACCUUUUAAGUUUUUAUGGAGGAAUCUGAUCAUUUGGUAUAGUUUCUUGCCUUGUGUUUUGUUACUAAGAUGUUUUUCCUAAUAAGAUCUUCAUAAACUAUCAAAGGAAAAUAAAGUCCUUUGGAACAGAAGGGAGUGUAGCACUUGGUAGUUUAAAAAUGCUUAUUUUAUAGAUGGCUUGAUUAUUAUGGGGGACAUACCUGAUUUGUCAUGUUUUAAUUUAAUUGUCCUGAAAAUGUUUUUUCAGGGUUGUGUUUUUUUUUUUAAUUGCAUGACGUACAGCAUGUUGCUGAAGAUUUAAUUUCUCCAGCUGUAAAGCAGACCCAGUCCUUCAGUUAUACCUGAUAUACCUUCAUGGUACUUAGUAAUUGCAGUAUUCAGUGUCACACAGUUCACGGUGAUUCUGCAGGACAAUACCAUUGGCUAAAUACAUCACAGGGUUCUUAUGUUCACACCAGUGAUGCCUGGAAAUAAGGUAUCCUAUUAAUCUUAUAUGCUUUGCGCUCUUGUAGGUCGUGUGAACUUUGUUCCCAUAGUUGCUUGAACAGUUUUUUAAGUUAAGUGAUAACUGACACUGUUUGUGAUCUGUUAAUAUUUUUUAAUAUACUUCCUCCCCCUUUAUUUGCACAUAAGAAUAAAGAUUAUGCCUCAACAUUAUUUCAUAUUAUGAACACACCACUGUUUUAACAAAUGUAAUAUGUAUAAUAAUUACUAAUUUAUGUAAAAUCAGUUGCCAAAGCAUAAAACUAACAGUUGUAAUGACUAUUUAUAUGAAGAAGUUCGUAUAUAAAGUCAAUUGCCAAAGCAUGAAGCUAACAGGUGUAAUGACUGUAUUUUUAUCAAGAAAUUCAUAUAACACCAACCGAGUGUCAUGCAUUCACAAAACCAUGUGAUUUGUGAACAUUUGAUUGUAAGGUCUGAGUUUACUGGGCAAAAUGUAUGAUUGAAAAGCUUAAUAUGUUUGAAAAAGGAAAGUGUGCAUAAGUCAUGGGGAGUUCUAAAAUUGACCAUAUUGCCCUAUGGUUGAACACAUUUUCUUGUGUAAGAGUUUUCUUCUUCUUGAAAAUGACCAUGAAAGUCAUAAUGUGCCAUAUACACUGCACAGUAAGGUGUAUAAGGGCCAGUCUGAAUUCUUAUUUGUCUUAAUUGUUAAUGGUUUGUAUGUUUUUGAUUUUUGUGUUGAAGUGUUGAAUGAGUCUUCUUGCAUAUCAAAAUACUGUACUUCUGAAUAAGAUGCAAGAAUUACAGUAUCCACUUAAUGUGAAGGCACGUUGUACUCUUUUGAACUGUUUCCAUUGAAGAAAGGAUUCUGGAGCUAAUAUGUAUUAACUACAGAUGAAAUAACUUUUUUAUGACGUAAAUUAUAUUUUCUGUAUUGACAAUUAUAGAGCAACAUAACAAAACAGAGAUGUACCUUUCCUGAAUAAAAAUAUGCUGUUGUGUUGUA